rnacentral:lncRNA from 1 species
CUGAAGGGUUGCUGACCACUGCUCUCAGCUGUUGGUCUUUUUCCUUUACUUCGAUCCACAAUAUCCUUUUCCUUCAUAAUUUUCGCCCCUUUUUCCACAAUCAAAGCCCGGUUCACUACUUCCCUGUAAGUAGAAAGGUUUGACGCCUUGACUAAUCUGAAAAUCGCAGGCCGCAAACCUACCUCAAAAAUUCGAGCCUUGUCCUCAUUAUCUCCGACCAUAAAAGGAACACAAUGCAGCAAUCGGGAGAACUCUCGCUCAUACUCUACUACUGUCCUGUCCCCCUGCCUCAGGUUUCUCAGAUCCUUUUCCAUCGCCUCUUUACACUCUGCGGAAAGUAAGUUGUCAACAAUAAUUCCUUAAAUCUCGUCCAAGUGAUUGCUGACAAAUCCACGGGGUCCUCACGGAUAUCUACCCACCACCUGUAAGCCUCGCCGUCUAGAUGGUGCGUCGCAAACCAAACUCGAUAUCGCUCCUCAACAAAAGUAUCAUAGAAUAAUUUCUCCAUGUGCAUCAGCCAUUUCUCAACCACCCAAUGAUCAGCUUUCUCCCCGUCAAAGACACGAGGGUUGCAAUGACGAAACUCAUUCAACCUUUCCAUCAUCCGCUCUCGCUCCUCAACCGCCACCAUCUCUGGUAACACGGUCCCUGUCGCAGCCACAUGCACUGGUG